UUACAGUGAUUAUUGAUGUAUGAGGGCUUAAUACUACCAUUUUAUCUUUUGUUUUCUGGUUGUUCUACGUUACCAUUGUUUCUUUUUCCUUGUAUUUCUGUCUGCCAUUUCAGUUUUAAAACCCUUUAAUAUUAAAGAAGAUAUCACACUAUCUAUAUCUCUGCCCCCUUCCCUGGGCCAUUCAUGGGCUAGGUGAUGGUAAGAACCUGGUCACUUGGGGUUUCAUUUAGCUUAGAGAUCAUUUUUGUUUGGUAGUAGGUUUAAAAAAAUCUGAAUUUGACUGCAUAUAUGCUAUUCCAUUCUAAGCUCUAACAACAUUCACGUUCUCCCAUUGUCAUACCUCACCUGCCUGGUACCUAAAAAGCUGUGUGUUUAAAACCUCUGGAUAGAUAGACCCAGGAUCUCUUGCUAGCAACAGAUAGAUGUCUCUCUUGAACACCAUUUGUGGUUGAAUAACUCUUGCCUCAGUAGUUUGGUUUAUUGGCCCUUAUGUAAAAAUCUGUUUAGCUUCCUGAAUUUCUCCACUCCUUACAGCUGAUAUUUUAUUUCCAUCUGCAGGCUCAACUUUGCCAGACUUGACCAAGGGGAAUUGAAGUCUUAGGAAUAGAUCACUGCUGCUUUUCCUCUUCUGACUUUGCUUUCAGUGCUAAUAACUUGUGUUACACUAAGUUCCCAUCACAUACUCCAUUUCCAGAAACCCACUGUGUCAUUUGGGUUUUGAAAGUCAUUGAUCUACAGAUGGAUUGGAUUGGAGAAAAUGAUUCUGAAAUUGUACCCUCCCAAGAUGAUUUAUGCCAUAGUAUCUUUAACGGACACACAUGUUUCAGAUGCUGUUGGACUUAAAUCCGUUUCUUAUCUUCUCAGAAGAAGGUCUUUGUCUUUAUCUUAUUAAUUGGAUUAAAUGCAAUUGCUUAGGAAAGAAAUAGUUCUUAUAGCGACUUCAAGCAAUAGACAUCAGAUGAUCUUGGGAGGUAUGCCAUAGCAAACUAGGAAAAUGUGCAGACAUUCUUUCUUCGACGCAUCUUUUGACAACUGAAGAUUGUUUAAAAUGUCAACUGUGAAGACAUAUUAUUUCAUGUACCCUGAAUAGCAGGUAUACUGAAGUGCCAAAAUUUCCCAAUGAUUAUCAUGUCUGUCUAAGAAGAGCAAUAAUAUAAAUGUUACUUGAAGAUAGUAAAAUUGUUUUCUUACCUCAGAAAAACUUCGCAAA
rnacentral:lncRNA from 1 species